rnacentral:rRNA from 1 species
UACGGGGGGAGCAAGCGUUGUUCGGAUUUACUGGGCGUAAAGGGCGCGUAGGCGGCCACCGCAAGUCGACUGUGAAAUCUCCGGGCUUAACCCGGAAAGGUCAGCCGAUACUGCGGGGCUAGAGUGCAGAAGGGGCAACUGGAAUUCUCGGUGUAGCGGUGAAAUGCGUAGAUAUCGGGAGGAACACCAAUGGCGAAGGCAGCUCACUGGGACGGUAUUGACGCUGAGACGCGAAAGCGUGGGGAGCAAACAGG